GAUGAAGAACGUAGCGAAAUGCGAUAAGUAAUGCGAAUUGCAGAUUUCAGUGAAUCAUCGAAUCUUUGAACGCACAUUGCGCCCGCCAGCAUUCUGGCGGGCAUGCCUGUUCGAGCGUCAUUUCAACCCUCGAGCCCCCCCGGGGGCCUCGGUGUUGGGGGACGGCACACCAGCCGCCCCCGAAAUGCAGUGGCGACCCCGCCGCAGCCUCCCCUGCGUAGUAGCACACACCUCGCACCGGAGCGCGGAGGCGGUCACGCCGUAAAACGCCCAACUUUCUUAGAGUUGACCUCGGAUCAGGUAGGAAUACCCGCUGAACUUAAGCAUAUCAAUAAGCGGAGGA
rnacentral:misc_RNA from 1 species